UGGGGAAUUUUGGACAAUGGGCGCAAGCCUGAUCCAGCCAUGCCGCGUGAGUGAAGAAGGCCUUCGGGUUAUAAAGCUCUUUCGGCCGGGAAGAAAUCGUGGUCUCUAACAUAGGCCAUGGAUGACGGUACCGGACUAAGAAGCACCGGCUAACUACGUGCC
rnacentral:rRNA from 1 species